rnacentral:rRNA from 1 species
GGAAACUGCCUGAUGGAGGGGGAUAACUACUGGAAACGGUAGCUAAUACCGCAUAACGUCGCAAGACCAAAGAGGGGGACCUUGGGCCUCUUGCCAUCGGAUGUGCCCAGAUGGGAUUAGCUAGUAGGUGGGGUAACGGCUCACCUAGGCGCGAUCCCUAGCUGGUCUGAGAGGAUGACCAGCCACACUGGAACUGAGACACGGUCCAG